CAUUAUAUAUCUAAGUUUAAGAGUUGGGUUCUUACUCCAAAUAUGUGUUUACACUGUAAUGG
rnacentral:tRNA from 1 species